UACGGAGGAUGCAAGCGUUAUCCGGAUUUAUUGGGUUUAAAGGGUGCGUAGGCGGAUAUGUAAGUCAGCGGUGAAACUCACAGGCUCAACCUGUGCCGUGCCGUUGAAACUGUGUAUCUGGAAUGCGGAUGCUGUGGGACGAAUGUGUAGUGUAGCGGUGAAAUGCAUAGAUAUUACACAGAACACCGAUUGCGAAGGCAUCUCACAAAGCCGUUAUUGACGCUGAGGCACGAAAGUGUGGGGAUCAAA
rnacentral:rRNA from 1 species